GUGAACGCUGGCGGUAGGCCUAACACAUGCAAGUCGAACGGCAGCACAGUAAGAGCUUGCUCUUACGGGUGGCGAGUGGCGGACGGGUGAGGAAUACAUCGGAAUCUACUUUUUCGUGGGGGAUAACGUAGGGAAACUUACGCUAAUACCGCAUACGACCUACGGGGGAAAGCAGGGGAUCUUCGGACCUUGCGCGAUUGAAUGAGCCGAUGUCGGAUUAGCUAGUUGGCGGGGUAAAGGCCCACCAAGGCGACGAUCCGUAGCUGGUCUGAGAGGAUGAUCAGCCACACUGGAACUGAGACACGGUCCAGACUCCUACGGGAGGCAGCAGUGGGGAAUAUUGGACAAUGGGCGCAAGCCUGAUCCAGCCAUACCGCGUGGGUGAAGAAGGCCUUCGGGUUGUAAAGCCCUUUUGUUGGGAAAGAAAAGCAGCAGGUUAAUACCCCGCUGUUCUGACGGUACCCAAAGAAUAAGCACCAGCUAACUUCGUG
rnacentral:rRNA from 1 species